rnacentral:rRNA from 2 species
GGUAGCUAUGUGCGGAAGGGAUAAGUGCUGAAAGCAUCUAAGCAUGAAGCCCCCCUCAAGAUGAGAUUUCCCAUAGCGUAAGCUAGUAAGAUCCCUGAAAGAUGAUCAGGUUGAUAGGUUCGAGGUGGAAGCAUGGUGACAUGUGGAGCUGACGAAUACUAAUAGAUCGAGGACUUAACCAUAUAA